CAAUUGAACUAAAUGUGGCUGAAGUGCAAUGGAGGAGUAUGGCAAGACAAAAAUUUCCACACAAUGUUUACCACCAGCCACACAGUGUGGCAGCAGAAAUGCCCAUGUUGCAGACAUGUCCGUCAGGUGGAAGGUCCCUGGCCAGUAAUAGGAGAGUUGUGAAGAGAUUUGGGACUGCGUAAAUAAACUCUGAGCAGAGAUCACACGUGAGGGAGACGAGGUGUUUUUGAUACAUCAACCACUCAAGAGCAUGGAUUUGUCUCUGCUCCUGGGGAUUUCUGUGAAGUCACCUGAGCUGCAAUUCUGCUUUCAGUCUGUCUUUGAGGUGUCUGCUUUCAAACUACCUGAGACAACAGAGGUAAAAAUUUAGAUAAACAUAGAACUGUUGGAUUUUCUCUCCUGGCAAAGCACUGUGGAACAGGUACUCCUUUUAUUUCUGUGUAUUUACAAUUAUUUUUCCACAGAAGCAAACUUCUCUGAGCUACUUGGAUGGCUUGGAACAUGGCCUUGCAAUCUUAACCUGCUUUGGCUCCAGUACAGCUUUAGUUUCUCUGGCACCCAUUUCUGGGUUUUCCUGGCAGAAUGAACACCUGUAACAAUGAAACAGACAAAUAAAUAAAGUAGUUUGGUAAUUGGCCA
rnacentral:lncRNA from 1 species